GUGGGGAAUUUUGGACAAUGGGGGCAACCCUGAUCCAGCCAUGCCGCGUGCGGGAAGAAGGCCUUCGGGUUGUAAACCGCUUUUGUCAGGGACGAAAAGCUCCGGAGUAAUAUGCCGGAGUGCUGACGGUACCUGAAGAAUAAGCACCGGCUAACUACGUGCCAGCAGCCGCGGUAAUACGUAGGGUGCGAGCGUUAAUCGGAAUUACUGGGCGUAAAGCGUGCGCAGGCGGUUGGGUAAGACAGAUGUGAAAUCCCCGGGCUUAACCUGGGAACUGCAUUUGUGACUGUCCGACUGGAGUACGUCAGAGGGGGGUGGAAUUCCACGUGUAGCAGUGAAAUGCGUAGAUAUGUGGAAGAACACCGAUGGCGAAGGCAGCCCCCUGGGACGCAACUGACGCUCAUGCACGAAAGCGUGGGGAGCAAACAGGA
rnacentral:rRNA from 1 species